rnacentral:lncRNA from 1 species
AAAGAACCUGCUCUCUUUUACAUCUAGAGCUGCCCUUGAAAAUAUGCCACCAGAAAGGAAAAAUGAAUGAAAUGCAGUCACCAUCCUUAGCUCAAAGCCUGGUGAGAGGGAUAGAACAAAUACAACUGAUUGAUGAAGCACAGAGAGGAAAAGCAACUUGGCCAAAGACACACGGCUCAUUAUCAUGGGGUUUGAGUUCAAACCCAGACAGUCUGAUUCCAGAGCCUGGCAAAUUUGACUGCUGCUCAUAUUAUCUCUCUUUCAACUGUGAAAGAUGUAUUCAUAGGCAUUUUUCUCAAGUUUUUAUUUGAAAAGGCUUUGCCCAAUGGCCCACAAAGACCUGGGGUGAAGGCAGGAGCUGGAAUGGGUUUGUCCUUACCCAAAUUUAUCCUUCACUGGCCUGAUGCUGCAUGGUGGUUCCUGGGGAUAACUGUUCCUCUGGUCCAAAGUAUCACAAUCUAAACAGAUUUGCAGAUGUUCAGCUUCCGUUUUGCCUUUAUCAAGUUCAACUGACAGUCCAGUGGGACUGGUUGCAUUUGUGCCAUGCACUCCAGCCCUCUCCCUCCCACUCCCCACCCCAGCAUGUUUCCCUGAGGAACUGGGAGAAGCUGCAGCUGUUGCCUCUGGUUUCCUUCAGCUCCUGCCACAGCAGCAGUUCUUCAAAAUUUCAUUACUUGUCUAUAUUUUCAGUAAAGUCACUCAACACUCACCGUUGUCCUGCUUUCCCCAGAGCAUGUCACCUUCAGUCUUCAAGCACCAGAUAAUUAAGUUGCUAGCAAGGUGCUGCAGAGAGGGAAGCCAUGCUGGAAAUCCCAGGCUGGCAGAAACCUGGAGUGGAACUCUCUUCUUAGGACUUCAUUUCCAUGGCCAGAAGGAAAGCAGCCUUCCCUAAAUUGCACCUGCCUCAAAGCUCUAUUGCCUUGACCUCAAUUAAAAAAGAAAUUACGACAACAUCCUUUAAAGAAUGCCACUAACAGCCUCUUGGCCUUCUACGGGAUACAGCAGCCAAUUUGCUGGUCUGUCUCUAUAGAAAUUGUUUCUCCACUGUGUGGAGAAAAUAAAAUCCAAGAUGGAGAUGGUUAUGUAAGAGGUAUCUAAAUGGGAUCUGCGGGGCAUAAGGAGUUGGAUCCCAGUCAUGUGCACACCCAGAUGAAAUCUGACUUGUUGAACUGGGCCAAAUUGUAACACCAACUGCAUUUGACUUGUACUGUUUAUACUGGGCCUGAUCACCAGCUUCCUGGAAAGACAGCUAGGCCAAACAAGACUGAAAGACAUCCUAAGCUGUUAACCAGCCAUCAUCAAUCAUGCACUAUAUGAAAACCUUCCAGAAUGUUACACAACUCAGAAUCAUCAAGAAGAAAAACCAAAACUGAACUUGGAGUAAGGGCAGACAUUGGCUGAGUAUCCUCGACAUUAUAUUUCUGGCUUUGACACAAGGACGUGACCAGUGUGAUUUGGCAAGGUGGGUUCAGUUGGUAUCAAUUCCCGGGCCACCAAGGAUGGAAGCACUUUGCACAGAAUCAGGCUUGUUUUGCCUUCCAGGAUGCCAUACACUGUGGCCUACACCUCAGUUUCCUGUACAGAGCCCAGCUCCCCGAGGACUGCAAACCCCGAGGACAGCUGAUGAUCUCAUUCUUGGUGUGGCGAACAUCCUUGCUAUUCUCAUUAUGGAAGCAACCUCACCAGCAGUAGGGUGGCUCUGACAUCUGCGAUUAAACUGCUACUGAAUCAGGAAAAAAGGAAGCAGGACAGAGGAAGGCAACGACUGGAAAGUUCUACUUCGGGACAACAUCUCUGAAUUAUUCACAUACAUUAAUGGAAACGAAUCAUUCUGACUCAUUAAUCAAUGCUGAAAUGAACGAUAAGCAACCGAGGAUGACCUAAAACAUUUAUAUUUGGCUUAUAUCAUGUUAGAACUUCUAAUUUAACAGAGAUGUUUCAUGCCCUGGAAGUUCAUACUGCUGCUGGGAAAUCACAAAGCUACGUUGGGAGCGUGUGACAUCCUCUUUCCCAACUCUUCUCACUGAGCAUCUCCCUGGAGGAGGCCAAAGUCAUCUCUCAGACUAAGCUCAGAGCUCAGUGAAGCUGUAGGGACAUUGGCAACAACUGCAGCAUCAUAGGCAUGGCUUGAAUGAGAGCUGUGAUUGUUAGUGAUGUCCAGGUAUGUGUCUGCCAUCUCAGAGUGACCCUGAGAAAGGCAUUCAUUUGGAAGCUUUUCUCCCCGCACUCUAUUCUAAGUGACCCAUUGCUCAGUGCCUAUUGCCCAGUGGACAUUAUGAAGUCCUGGAGGCUGCCAGUCUCCUCACUGUGACUGGAGUCAUGGCUCCAGGCUCUGCCGGCUUCAUGCACCUGGGGAGAGUGACCAGCAGCACUGCCCAGAGUCCCGUGCUGGCCCUGCAGGAACAAAGGCCUUGCAGGAUACGCAGUCGUCGUGACAUGCUGAUGGCAGAUUAUGUGCUAUUUGCACUUUUUUUUCUCUCUCUUUCAUGUAGGGAUGCCCAGGUUGGUCGGGACAUUUCUGAUGCUCCACCUCCAUCCCUCAGUGCUCGCUAGUCUGGGCCUGCAAGCAGUGUUAUUGAACAAAACUGGGGUUCGCUAACCCAGCGCAGUUAAAUCCAAACAUCCACACUGAGGUUUGCAAUGGGAGAAAGGAGAGCAUUUAUUGGCAAGGCGCCAAGCAAGGAGAAUUAGGCAGCUCCCAUUUAAGAUCUGACCUCCCCUGUGACUUGGAAGUAAGGGUAUUUAAAGGCAGAGGGAAAUUUCAGGAAAGCAGAAGUUACAGGCAAAGUCAUAAAUCAAUACAUGGAGGUUGUACUUCAGUUUGACCGAAAAAGGUGGGGUAUCUUGAAGUGGGAGCUUAUAGGUCAUAGGUAGAUUCAAAGAUUUUUUGAUUUUCAAUUGGUUAAGGAGGCAAAGCUUUGUCUAGACAUGCGAGGUCAGCGGAAAAGAAUGUAAGCUCUGGCCUGUGGCGUGACCUCCUCCAGGCCCCUCAGGAAGAAAUCUAGAACAAAGAGCAGUGGUUCCAGUUCAGUCCUCAGUUCCCCUCAGGGUCUGCAGGCCAGCAGAUCCAUCUGAUGGGGGUCUGGGUUUCUGAAAAACACCUUGGGAA